AAAUUUCAUAACUGAUCCAAAGAAAUUAGGAGCAUAUAAGUAUAAAAUAUUACAAUAAACUAAUAAAAAAUCAGAAAAUACAUAAUAAAAAAAGUGAAAACAAAAAUGAUUAAGCAUGGAAAUAAAAAAUCAAAAGAAAUAGAGAAACCCAAAUGAAGGUAAGCAAAAAAAUAAAAUGUACCUGAUGGAGUUUUGGAACCUUUUGAAUUAUUGAAAUGACAAUUCACCAAAAAACGGAUCAAUUUCAAGAAAAUUAGGGUCAUGUAAAUGAGAUGUGAGUAAGGAGAAGUGAGAUUAAUUUUUAAAAACUCCAUACCAGUAAUUACUCAUUUGGAUUUCUACUUUGCCUCUCUCCUCGACUCUGUACUUAAAUCUUCUUUUCUUUUUGUUCACUUCUUUCUGUCUAAUACAUCCAUGAGUAAAACCAAAUUAGAAGAAUGCAAGUAUAAAAUCCUAAAAUAGGCUUGAAAGAGAAAGGGAUAGAGAUCAUUAUACUCUAUUUCAUCGCUUCAAUUGAGAGAAUUUGUUUUCUCCUUUUGAACCCUUUGAGCAAAAGACAGAUGUAGAGGUGAUUUCAACACCUUACGUAGACAUAAAGCAAUGUUAGCCAAUAAAAUUUGGCCACACAAAGUAAAAUAUUAAAGGCUUCCUUUGUAUACUUUAGACUGCUAUUUACACUACUAUCUAAUGCAAUGUUAGUCCUAGGCCUAUUGGUUUAUAUAUAAGGGUAA
rnacentral:lncRNA from 1 species